CCAAUAGCGUAUAUUAAAGUUGUUGCAGUUAAAAAGCUCGUAGUUGAAUUUCGGGAUCAAUAUAUCGGUCGUGCCAUUGGUACGUACUGGUAUCAUUGGCUUCUCUUUUCUCACGACCCAUGACGUCAUUAAUUUGGUGUUAUGGGAAGUUAGGACUGUUACUUUGAAAAAAUUAGAGUGUUUAAAGCAGGCUUUAGCUUGAAUACAUUAGCAUGGAAUAAUGAAAUAGGACGUUCGAACCUAUUUUAUUGGUUUCUAGGAUCAACGUAAUGAUUAAUAGGGAGAGUUGGGGGCAUUAGUAUUCAAUUGUCAGAUGUGAAAUUCUUGGAUUUAUUGAAGACUAACUACUGCGAAGGCAUUUGCCAAGGAUGUUUUCAUUAAUCAAGAACGAAGGUUAGGGGAUCGAAGACGAUCAGAUACCGUCGUAGUCUUAACCAUAAACUAUGCCGACUAGGGAUCGGAUGAUGUUAAUUUUUUAAUGACUCAUUCGGCGCCUUACG
rnacentral:rRNA from 1 species